rfam:Bradyrhizobium erythrophlei strain GAS478 genome assembly, contig: Ga0132009_11
UCACCAGGCCGGGCCCCUCUGGCAGCCAGCAGGCUGCGAUGUCGGACUGGAGUU